GAUGAACGCUGGCGGCGUGCCUAAUACAUGCAAGUCGAGCGAACGGACGAGAAGCUUGCUUCUCUGAUGUUAGCGGCGGACGGGUUAGUAACACGUGGAUAACCUACCUAUAAGACUGGGAUAACUUCGGGAAACCGUAGCUAAUACCGGAUAAUAUUUUGAACCGCAUGGUUCAAAAGUGAAAAACGGUCUUGCUGUCACUUAUAGAUGGAUGCGCGCUGCAUUAGCUAGUUGGUAAGGUAACGGCUUACCAAGGCAACGAUGCAUACCCGACCUCAGAGGGUGAUCGCCCACACUGGAACUGAGAAACGGUCCAGACUCCUAGGGGAGGCAGCAGUAGGGAAUCUUACGCGAUGGGCGAAAGCCUGACGGAGCAACGCCGCGUGAGUGAUGAAGGUCUUCGGAUCGGAAAACUCUGUUAUUAGGGAAGAAGAUAUGUGUAAGUAACUGUGCACAUAUUGACGGUACCUAAUCAGAAAGCCACGGCUAACUACGUG
rnacentral:rRNA from 1 species